rnacentral:rRNA from 1 species
AGGUUAGUUUUAUCCUACUGAUGAAGUGUGUUAUCGCAACAGUAAUUGAGGUUAGUACGAGAGGAACCCCUGAUUCAGAUAAUUGGUAAAGCGGUUGGUUGAAAAGGCAAUGCCGCGAAGCUACCAUCUGUUGGUUUAGGGCUGAACGCCUCUAAGUCCGAAACCAUGCUGGAGAGGCGAUGAUAGUGUGUGUUUUCUGUGUGAUAAGAAUGAGCGAGGAUACUUUUGUCUCUUGUUGGAGAGGAAAGGGUGCCAUGAAAGGUUGUGUUGUUCCGUCAAAUGAACUGUGCAGCUGAUUGAUAAUUGCAAGCGUGGAAAGUGAUAAAUCCUUUGUAGACGACUUUGUUUGGACAAGGUAUUGUAAGCA